AAAGUUGUUGCAGUUAAAAAGCUUGUAGUUGAACCUUGGGCCUGGCUGGCCGGUCUGCCUCACCGCGUGCACUGGUCCGGCUGGGCCUUUUGUUCUGGGGAGCCGCAUGCCCUUCACUGGGUGUGCCAGGGAAUCAGGACUUUUACUUUGAAAAAUUAGAGUGUUCAAAGCAGGCCUAUGCUCGGAUACAUUAGCAUGAAAUAAUCAAAUAGGACGUGGGGUUCUAUUUUGUUGGUUUCCAGGACCGCUGUAAUGAUUAAUAAGGAUGGUUGGGGGCAUCAGUAUUCAAUUGUCAGAGGUGAAAUUUGUGGAUUUAUUGAAGACUAACUAUUGCGAAAGCAUUUGCCAAGGAUGUUUUCAUUAAUCAGGGAACAAAAGUUAAAGGAUCAAAGACGGUCAGAUACCGUUGUAGUCUUAACCAUAAACUAUGCCAACUAGGGAUUGGGCGGUGUUAUCAUUUCGACCCGUUUAGCGCCUUAUGAGAAAUCAAAGUUUUUGGAUUCUG
rnacentral:ncRNA from 1 species